CCCGAUCCAGCUGGUGUCUCUAGGCUGAGCCAGUAGAGUUGGGACUCUGGUGUGGCCCUGAACACAUCCCACAUGAUGAGUGCAUAUGGCCGUUUCCAUUUCGCUCACUGCCCAUGUGCCUGGGGAAUUAUGGGAGCUUUAGAAAGAAAAUUACCACUGCGUCUCAAUGAGGUGAGGCUGCUGUGUCUGGAGGCUCCUCAUAACUUGUAAAUUAAAUGUGAAUGAGAGAAGUUCAUUAAAAUUGGCAUUAUAGAAGUGGCCUAUUGAGGUUUGAAAGCAGCUGAGCUCAUGGUGUCUGGGCUCUCUCUAAACCUGUGGAGAAAUGCAUGAACAAAUGACAGGCAGUGGUCACAGGAGCGUAGGGUUCAGGCAGCUUGAGUGCUGUGAGUGGAUUGCUGCCCGGCUCCCAGCCCUCCGGGGGCAUAGAGGGGAGUCACUGCUCAAUGCAUGAGGCUCAGCCACUGAGAAUAUUUGUUAUUUGGGGUAUACAAGGGAGCCAAACCCCUAAGGGAAGGGACUAGUGCCAUUUCCACAGCAUCGUGGAUGUUGUUUUCAUUUAUUCCCGGUAUACAGGUAUGUGUAAAAAUCUCAAAGGCACAGCACACACAAACAUCUGUGUAUUAUGGUUCAGAGAGAUACCGGGAAGGUGGAGGAGAGGUGGUUUCAGUGAAUACAAUAAUUACCUUCAUUUUUUUCCUUAAUGGAAUUAAUGUAUUAGAAGAUGUAUGCAUCUCCUCUACAGAGAAGGAAGGAAAACUAACAGUAAAAACAUAGCUAUUAUCCACCUCACCACAAAUAUUUGCAGUUACGGAAUGUUGCCACAGUGUGAAUUCCACUGAUGAAAAGAUGUUGCUGGGGAGGAGAGAGGCUGCUGGCGCUGAGCCCUGCCACUGCCGCAUAAAUGCUGCUGUUUAUUUUGAACCAGGAAACGUUGAUCCUGUAACAAUGCCCCAUUACAGUUGCUGUAUUGCAGUGAGGGGCUGAUGCAGGUUUAAUCAUCUCGCUAAUGGAUGUGGGUGCAGGAUGGAUGCUCUGCCCUGCUUUCCCCACCUGCAUCCUGAUGAGCCUCAGUAGCCGGCAGGGCCAUUGCACAGUGGAGCAGCUGCAGCUGCAGUUCCAUCUCCCUGAUGCUCAAAAGCCAUGUCUGGCCAAAGUAAAACAGAUUAUCUGUUCUUUUCUGUCUCCCUUCAGAAGACACCAACUAUGGGAGACAAAUCAGAUCUUUUAACACAAUCUCAUUAAGGCUCCAUGCUAACAAGAGUGCAGAGCUUACCUGACUUACAGACGUGAUGAAUUAGCAUGCACACUGCACACAUCAACUCACCAGCUCUCCCUGUAACAUGGAAAGGCCUCCAUCUUUUUAAUGGAUGAGCUGCCUGCAUUCCCAUCUGUUUGCUUCUUAGAAGUAAACUAAAUUCAGCGGCCAGCCAUCUAGUGCAGCAUUUAUUUAAAAGAUACAGAAAUACUGUUUCCCACUGGGUCUCUUACAUGGCCUCAAAGGUCAGAAUUUAUUGUCUGUGAUAGUGAAACCAUGUAUACAAAACUCCCUUCUGUUCAUGAUCCAUGUAGCAGACGUUCCUAAAGCACAGUCUCUAAGCAUUUUCCUUACGGGCGGGGUGCUCAAAGAAUAAUCAGCAGGAGUCAUUUAGCGAUUGUGUGUUUCACUGGUAAGUGGUCUAAGUUGAAUGCAAAAUGCAUUGGGCCUCUUUUUUUUUUGUGGCUGGUGUUGCUUUUGUUUAUUCUGUUUUGGUUUUUAAAUAAAAUAUAUGAACUGCUGGCAUUUGGAACAUCCCAUAAUAAUUGCAAGAUAAUGUUCCUGUCACUGCCCCCUCUUCAUUGGAGGAGAGACACUAGCUCAGUAAUUCAUGUCGUCCUGUCCGGUUUUACAUCCUUUCUCAUCUCCAACCUGUGACUGUGCAUGUCAAUUCUGACCUCAGUCUCCAUCAACAUUAUAGGGACUGGGUAUUUUAAAGGAUGUUUUAGAAUGCCGUUCUUUCCUGAUCUCUCCUUUAUGCUUUUAAGCUAUAUUUCCUGUUCUGAUGUGGGACUCGUUCACAGAAUCAGGGCAGGAAAGGACUCUUCCUCAUUGUGUACUUCGGUUUCUGAUGUGUGAUAAAUCCAUGGUUUUAUGGCUGACCUUACACUUCCCAGAGGGAAGGAGACAGAUUUCUAGUGUCCAGACCAAGAGAGCUAUUCACCCAGAGUUCUCACAUGCUGUGUACUGGUCUGAUGAAACCUGCCCUGUGGCGUAAACUUUCGUAUGAGCUGUCUCCAUGUAAUAUUCAAUAAAUUGUGUGCUCUGAAUAUAUAUAAAUG
rnacentral:lncRNA from 1 species